rnacentral:rRNA from 1 species
AACGUAGGAAGCUAGCGUUAUCCGGAUUUACUGGGCGUAAAGCGCAUGCAGGUGGUUUCGUAAGUUGGAUGUGAAAGCUCCCGGCUUAACUGGGAGAGGUCGUUCAAAACUACGAGACUUGAGAUUGGUAGAGGAAGGUGGAAUUCCGGGUGUAGUGGUGAAAUGCGUAGAUAUCCGGAGGAACACCAGUGGCGAAAGCGGCCUUCUGGACCAAUUCUGACACUCAGAUGCGAAAGCUAAGGUAGCAAACGGG